rnacentral:misc_RNA from 1 species
GAUGAAGAACGUAGCGAAAUGCGAUAAGUAAUGUGAAUUGCAGAAUUCAGUGAAUCAUCGAAUCUUUGAACGCACAUUGCGCCCGCCAGUAUUCUGGCGGGCAUGCCUGUUCGAGCGUCAUCACAACCCUCAGGCCCCCGGGCCUGGCGUUGGGGAUCGGCGGAAGCCCCCUGUGGGCACACGCCGUCCCUCAAAUACAGUGGCGGUCCCGCCGCAGCUUCCAUUGCGUAGUAGCUAACACCUCGCAACUGGAGAGCGGCGCGGCCAUGCCGUAAAACACCCAACUUCUGAAUGUUGACCUCGAAUCAGGUAGGAAUACCCGCUGAACUUAAGCAUAUCAAUAAGCGGAGGA